UUUCACCAUUGGACAUCCAAGACUUGUAAAUAAAUCUACACUCUAAAAAUUAAAAGGUUCGCUGCAGGAUCCUUCAGGUUAAUUUAACAACAUAUACUCUGCCAUCAGUUAGUUUCUGAACCUUUGUGGACUUAAGGGGUGCUUAGAAGAACCCAUUUCAAAAGAGAAGUUUGUUUUGGAACCAGCAGUGGACUCGUGCAUAUAAUUAAAAAUGAGAACGUUGCUGAAAAGAGGAAGCCAGAAGCGCGCGAGUGGUUGGAGAGGCGGGACAGAUAAGAGAUGACUUGCAACAGAUCGACGUGGAAGGAGGUACGGCAUGAUGGAGAAUAAAUACAAAAAAGAACGUCAGCCGCUUGCUCACAUUGCAAAAGUACAGGAAAUGCAGAAGAGGUUUGGGAGGUAAGGGGGAAAAAAAUAAGCCCAGAUGACACCGAAAAUGAAGACCCAAGGUAAUUGCCGACAGGAUCAUUGCAGAAACUGAGAAGAGGGGUGUGGCCAUGGAGUUGCUGAAUCUCUACAAGACGACACUUCUCUCACACGGAGGAGGCUCACAAUGGUUUGAAGGUCACUGCAGCCAUUUUGCGCCUCUUACCUCUUCAAAGAUCCAAGUGGGCUGUAUGUCAGACAGGAUGAAAGCCACAUCCAGCUCUUCCUGGAUGGAUAGAAGCUACUCACUGAAAAGCCGGAGGACAUCUCCAUGGGAUUGGGAGUGGCAAUGGGUGUCAUUUCCUUCUUAAUAUUGAGUAUGCAGCAUCAGUAAAAAGUAUUAUGCUGUUAAUUCAGAAAUGUGUUCUGGGAAUUGAUGAGGGGUUAAAUUACCUACAAAUUUUGUAUGAAUUAAUCAAUAAAAUGAAUUGGCUAAGUUUGCCAAUCAAUGUAACUUGUAUUUUAUUGUUAUAAUUCAUAAAAGAUUACAAAGGACAAAAAGAUUCCUACAGGAACCUUAACACCCUAAAAAGGUGCUUUGAGGGAACUUUAACGGUUCCUCAGGGAAAAGGUUCCUGGAAGCACCAAAAGAGGUUCUGCCGGC
rnacentral:lncRNA from 1 species